rnacentral:miRNA from 1 species
GCGAGGUGGCCAGGCUGAGAGGGAGGCCAGCGGUGAGUUGUGGCCUGAGGGCCUGGCUGGCAGCCCUGCUCCUCCCAGCAGC